UACAGAGGGGGCAAGCGUUAUUCGGAAUUAUUGGGCGUAAAGGGCGCGUAGGCGGCUUUGCAAGUGACGGGUGAAAGCCCUCGGCUUAACCGAGGAACUGCCUGUCAGACUGUAAGGCUUGAGACCGGGAGAGGUGAGUGGAAUUCCCAGUGUAGCGGUGAAAUGCUUAGAUAUGACAUAGAACACCAAUUGCGAAGGCAGCUUGCUACACAGUUAUUGACGCUGAGGCACGAAAGCGUGGGGAUCAAACAGG
rnacentral:rRNA from 1 species